rnacentral:rRNA from 1 species
GACGAACGCUGGCGGUGUGCUUAACACAUGCAAGUCGAACGGCAAGGCCCUGCUUUCGUGGGGUGCCCGGGGGGCGAACGGGUGAGUAACACGUGAGUAACCUGCCCUUGACUUUGGGAUAACUUCAGGAAACUGGGGCUAAUACCGGAUAGGAUCUCCCGCUGCAUGGUGGGGGUUGGAACGUUUCGGCGGUUGGGGUUGGAUUGGCGGCUUAUGAGCUUGUUGGUUGGGUAGGGGCUUACCAAGGCUUUGAAGGGUAGCCGGCAUGGGUGGGUGACCGGCGACAUGGGGACUGAGGUACGGCCCAGACUCGUACGGGAGGCAGCGGGGGCGAAUAUUGCACAAUGGGCGGAAGCCUGAGGCAGCGACGCCGCGUGCGGAAUGACGGCCUUCGGGUAGUGAAACGCUUUAGCUUGUGACGAAGCGUGAGUGACGGUAAUGGAAAAAGAAGCACCGGCUAACUACGUG